rfam:Loxodonta africana unplaced genomic scaffold scaffold_4, whole genome shotgun sequence.
CAUUGGUGGUUCAGUGGUAGAAUUCCUGCCUUCCAUGCAGGAGACCGGGGUUCAAUUCCCCCAGCCAGUG